rnacentral:rRNA from 1 species
CAAUAGCGUAUAUUAAAGUUGUUGCGGUUAAAAAGCUCGUAGUUGGAUUUCUGUUGGGAACGACCGGUCCGCCCAUUGGGUGUGUAUCUGGCUUGUUCUCGGCAUCUUCUUGGUGAACGUUGCUGCACUUGACUGUGUGGAGCGCUACCCAGGACUUUUACUUUGAGGAAAUUAGAGUGUUUCAAGCAGGCAUAUGCCUUGAAUACAUUAGCAUGGAAUAAUAAGAUAGGACCUCGGUUCUAUUUUGUUGGUUUCUAGAGCUGAGGUAAUGAUUAAUAGGGAUAGUUGGGGGCAUUCGUAUUUAACUGUCAGAAGUGAAAUUCUUGGAUUUGUUAAAGACGGACUACUGCGAAAGCAUUUGCCAAGGAUGUUUUCAUUGA